rnacentral:ncRNA from 1 species
GAACGCCGUGUGAUGGGAAACUAUCACGCACGGUGUGGACUGGGGGAAAAUCCGGAUAGUAUAGACUACAAAGGAUUACCUAUCAGUAU